GAACUAGGUACGUAGAGUAGUGGGAACGCCUUUAAAAAAAAACUAUUGAUUUAUAAUUUGUAAAAAGAAGUUUUCGAUAAGUUUUCUUUUGUGAUAAAUCACAAAAUGUGUGAAAAUGUUUUUAAGUUACUGUUAGAAGGUUAAUAUUUUUCUCGGUUCUAGAACUGAGCUUAAUGACAGAAUUGCUAAAAAGCUUUGCUGAUAUUUACGUAGUUUAGUUUUUACAUGAUUUUAUAGUAUGUACAAGAUUUUGAUACAAUAUUUUUUAAAACUACUUACAGUUUUUUGUGAAAAACUAUAUUUUUGUGACUACAAAAUUUUUGCUGACUCUUAUGAUAAUUAAACCUUUAAUACGCUGAUUUGUAUGUAACUUUUACAGUUCCUACUUCGAAAGACUUAACCUUAGCAGAUAAGUUGAAAUACCUCUAAUAAUUGUACUGAUUAGUAAGUAGUAUGUACAAAAU
rnacentral:misc_RNA from 1 species